rnacentral:rRNA from 1 species
GACGAACCGUCCAAACGUUAUUCGGUAUCACUGGGCUUAAAGGGUGCGUAGGCGGCCUAGUAAGUUGGGUGUGAAAGACCUCGGCUCAACCGAGGAAUUGCGCCCAAAACUACUAGGCUUGAGGAAGGCAGAGGUAAGCGGAACUUGCGGUGGAGCGGUGAAAUGCAUUGAUAUCGCAGGGAACACCAGUGGCGAAGGCGGCUUACUGGGCCUUUUCUGACGCUGAGGCACGAAAGCUAGGGUAGCGAACGGG